AAAAGAAACCAACAGGGAUUGCCUCAGUAACGGCGAGUGAAGCGGCAAAAGCUCAAAUUUGAAAUCUAGCACCUUCGGUGUUCGAGUUGUAAUUUGAAGAUGGUAACCUUGGGUUUGGCUCUUGUCUAUGUUCCUUGGAACAGGACGUCAUAGAGGGUGAGAAUCCCGUCUGAUGAGAUGCCCAUUCCUAUGUAAGGUGCUAUCGAAGAGUCGAGUUGUUUGGGAAUGCAGCUCUAAGUGGGUGGUAAAUUCCAUCUAAAGCUAAAUAUUGGCGAGAGACCGAUAGCGAACAAGUACAGUGAUGGAAAGAUGAAAAGAACUUUGAAAAGAGAGUGAAAAAGUACGUGAAAUUGUUGAAAGGGAAGGGCAUUAGAUCAGACUUGGUGUUUUACGAUUAUCUUCUCUUCUUGAGUUGUGCACUCGUAUUUCACUGGGCCAGCAUCGAUUCGGAUGGCAAGAUAAUGGCAGUUGAAUGUGGCUUCACUUCGGUGGAGUGUUAUAGCUUCUGCUGAUAUUGCCUGUCUGGAUCGAGGGCUGCGUCUUUUGACUAGGAUGCUGGCGUAAUG
rnacentral:rRNA from 1 species